GUGGAUUAGUGGCGAACGGGUGAGUAACACGUGGGCAAUCUGCCCUUCACUCUGGGACAAGCCCUGGAAACGGGGUCUAAUACCGGAUACAACCACCGGCCUCAUGGUCUGGUGGUGGAAAGCUCCGGCGGUGAAGGAUGAGCCCGCGGCCUAUCAGCUUGUUGGUGGGGUAAUGGCCUACCAAGGCGACGACGGGUAGCCGGCCUGAGAGGGCGACCGGCCACACUGGGACUGAGACACGGCCCAGACUCCUACGGGAGGCAGCAGUGGGGAAUAUUGCACAAUGGGCGAAAGCCUGAUGCAGCGACGCCGCGUGAGGGAUGACGGCCUUCGGGUUGUAAACCUCUUUCAGCAGGGAAGAAGCGACUGUG
rnacentral:rRNA from 1 species